GCGAUUAUACCGUCACUAAUGCAUCGGAUCCCAUCAAAACUCUGUAGUUAAGUGUGCUUUAGCGAGAGUAAUACUAGGAUGGGUGACCCCCUGGGAAGUCCUUGUGUUGCACCCC